AUGUACAUUACCACAGUGAGAUGUAAAGCAUCUCAGACACCAGAGACAGCCACUUUAUUAAGACAGCUUCUCUUCCUAACAACCUCCCUACAAUCUUCAUCAGAAGAAAUAUAUAUCCUUUGUCAUUCUUAACUUCAGAGAAACCUGGGUUCAAGUCAGCCAGUCUUCAAACUUAUUUGUGGGGAACCUGUUAGAAAGGAGCUCACUGCCUCUUCACUGCUCCACUAUGACCUUGGUGUUCACCUUGAUGCUUGAGAUGCUCCUGUUUCUGAUAGGAGCUGGAGCCCAGUCAGUGACCCAGCCUGAUGACCACAUCACUGUCUCUGAAGGAGCCCGUCUGGAGCUGAGGUGCAACUACUCAUCUUCUGUUUCACCAUACCUCUUCUGGUCCAUGCAGUACCCAGACCAAGGACCCCAGCUCCUCCUGAAGUACGUGUCUGGAGACAAUCUUGUUUCAGGCAUCAAAGGUUUUGAGGCUGAAUUUAGGAAGAGUGAGAAGUCCUUCCACCUGAGGAAAACACCAGCUCAUUGGAAAGACUCGGCCAAGUCCUUCUGUGCUCUGAGUGACACAGUGCCUGGGGCUGCAGGAGGAGCUGAACACAAACCUCCUGGACACUGUAGCUCAGUCUUUGUUAUAUUAGGAAGUUGGCAUGUUCUGUGA